rnacentral:rRNA from 1 species
AUUGAACGCUGGCGGCAGGCCUAACACAUGCAAGUCGAGCGGAGCGGCGGAGGGGUGAGUAAGGCCUAGGAAUCUGACUGGGAGCGGGGGAUAACGUCCGGAAACGGGCGCUAAUACCGCAUACUAUCGGAUGAGGCUAGGUCGGAUUAGCUAGUUGGUGGGGUAAAGGCCUACCAAGGCCACGACCCGUAACUGGUGUGAGAGGAUGAUCAGUCACACUGGAACUGAGACACGGUCCAGACUCCUACGGGAGGCAGCAGUGGGGAAUAUUGGACAAUGGGCGAAAGCCUGAUCCAGCCAUGCCGCGUGUGUGAAGAAGGUCUUCGGAUUGUAAAGUACUUUAAGUUGGGAGGCGUUACCAGCAGAAGAAGCACCGGCUAACUCCGUGCCAGCAGCCGCGGUAAUAC